GUUGUGUCAUCUUUUAGUCUGCUGCGUCAACUUGAAGCUGUGCCUUUUUAUUUGGACUGUAAACUCUGGCCCCGCUUGCUGCAAGACAUGUUAUGGUGUAUAAUUUUACUGACUGUGGCUUGGUGUCAGUGGAGCCUGCAUCACUUGAAUUUCAGUUUCACUGCAAACUG